rnacentral:rRNA from 1 species
CUCCUCCUACGGGACGCAGCAGUGGGGAAUAUUGCACAAUGGGCGAAAGCCUGAUGCAGCAACGCCGCGUGAAGGAAGAAGGGUUUCGGCUCGUAAACUUCUAUCAACAGGGACGACAGAAAUGACGGUACCUGAAUAAGAAGCCCCGGCUAACUACGUGCCAGCAGCCGCGGUAAUACGUAGGGGGCAAGCGUUAUCCGGAUUUCCUGGGUGUAAAGGGGGCGCAGACGGCAAUGCAAGCCAGGAGUGAA